rnacentral:misc_RNA from 1 species
AAGUCGUAACAAGGUUUCCGUAGGUGAACCUGCGGAAGGAUCAUUAACACGUAUCCAACGUUAAAACAACCCCGUGAACUUUCAGCUUGCUCCUGUAGCCCGUGAAAGCAGCAAUCCCUGGUAAAUCAUUGUUGACCAGCUUUUGAGUCAGGGACCUCUGCAGAUUGUGAUACUGGCAUCCCCAAGUAAUCAGUGUUCUGAAAGUGUCAUUGAUUGUGUAAGGAUGGCGCAGUCACGAUCGCUGUAGGCCCACACGGCCGGCGACCGGGUCACCGGGCUCUGCUCCUUUACGACAACUACAGUCUAACUUCGCCGCGCGUGAAAUUCGCACGGCACCAAAAACCGAACAACUGUUAACAAUGGAUAUCUUGGUUCUC